CUUUUGUAAAAAUAGAAGGUCUAGCCUGCCCACUGAAAAGUUAAAGGGCCGCGGUAUAUUGACCGUGCAAAGGUAGCAUAAUCAUUAGUCUUCUAAUUAAAGGCUGGAAUGAAUGGUUGGACGAGGUAUUAGCUGUCUCCCUAAAAUUAUCUAAAAUUUAACUUUUUAGUCAAAAGGCUGAAAUAAUAUUGGAGGACGAGAAGACCCUAUAGAUCUUUAUAUUGUAAUUAUUUAACCACUUUAGGAGGUUUAAGGUUUAAUAGCUUAAAUAUUUUGUUGGGGUGACAGGAAGAUAAGUAAAACUAUUUUUAUAAAUAAAACAUUGAUGUAUGAAUAAAUGAUCCGUAAUAACGAUUAAAAGACUAAGUUACC
rnacentral:rRNA from 1 species